GACUCAGGAGGACUGCCGG
rnacentral:miRNA from 1 species